UCUGAGUAGUACUUUAGAAAAGUAAUUUUUUGAUUUUCCAAGUGUUUUUUAUAAUAAUUUGGAAAAACUGUGAACAAAUGAAGGGAAUACGGGAAAAUUUACGAAAUGUAUUAUUUUCAUGAUUCAGUUAAAAAUACUCGAAGACUCGAAAUUUGGACAGAAAAAUUUUAUUUGCCUUUUCUAGACGUGAUAACAUUUUAUUUUCAAAUAAUUUUAGUCGAUUUUGUUUU